rnacentral:lncRNA from 1 species
CCAGUAUCAAACAGAGCCCACUGCCAUCAGGGUUCAUCAGGGUUCUGUGUCCUAAGGAGCUCUGUUGAGAAGGGAAGACAGGCCUGGCAUAGGCAAGGUCUUUGCUCCCAGAAUGCCCUGUUCCAGGGACUCCUUGGGUUGCAUCCCUAGGCCCUAGAACUGGAAGCUGAGGAGGCUAUGGCUCACCUCUCCUUCUGCUGUUCACAGGAGUUCUUUUAUGAUAUCAAACACAGCGACCUGGCCAAAAAGUCCCUGGAUAUCUCAGUGUGGGACUACGACAUUGGCAAAUCGAAUGAUUACAUCGGUGAGUACCAGCUCCUGGGACAACCUCCUCAUCUGGCCUCUCCAGAAGAGGGGAUACCUUGUAGGGCCCCCGGGGAAGGCCACAUUCUUCCAGAAGCUCUUCAGGUUCAGGUCUAACCUGGGGAGAGAGACUCCAGGCAGGGGUGAGGAAGAAACGGAUCCUUUGGGAAGGGACAGUGAAUGCCCAGGAUGUGGAGACAAACACAGAAGAG